GAUGAACGCUGGCGGCGUGCUUAACACAUGCAAGUCGAACGGAAAGGCCCAAGCUUGCUUGGGUGCUCGAGUGGCGAACGGGUGAGUAACACGUGGGUGAUCUGCCCUGCACUUUGGGAUAAGCCUGGGAAACUGGGUCUAAUACCGGAUAGGACCAUUGUUUAGUGUCGGUGGUGGAAAGUUUUUCGGUGUGGGAUGAGCGCGCGGCCUAUCAGCUUGUUGGUGGGGUAAUGGCCUACCAAGGCGUCGACGGGUCGCCGGCCUGGGAGGGUGUACGGCCACAUUGGGACUGCGAGACGGCCCAGACGCCUACGGGAGGCAGCAGUGGGGAAUAUUGCACAAUGGGCGCAAGCCUGAUGCAGCGACGCCGCGGGGGGGAGGACGGCCUUCGGGUUGUAAACUCCUGUCGCCAAGGACGAAGCGUUUUGUGACGGUACUUGGAGAAGAAGCACCGGCUAACUACGUG
rnacentral:rRNA from 1 species